rnacentral:rRNA from 1 species
GACGUAGGGGGCCAGCGUUGUUCGGAAUUACUGGGCGUAAAGGGUUCGUAGGCGGUGUGGCAAGUUGGGAGUGAAAUCUCUGGGCUCAACCCAGAGGCUGCUUCCAAAACUGCUGUGCUUGAGUGUGAGAGAGGCUCGUGGAAUUCCAGGUGUAGCGGUGAAAUGCGUAGAUAUCUGGAGGAACACCGGUGGCGAAGGCGGCAUCCUGGACUACUACUGACGCUGAGUGAGCGAAAGCCAGGGGAGCAAACGGG